UGGAAGACUAGUGAUUUUGUUGUUGUCUCACUGCAUCCAACAACAAGUCCCAGUCUGCCACA
rnacentral:ncRNA from 3 species